ACGCUUGGCAGUUUGCAGGCCAGUAAUGGAAGGCAGCCGUCCUUCCUUUGCUGACCCCUGCGAAUUCCCCAAAUGUGGGAAUCUCGACUGCAUAAUUUAUGGUAGUGGGGGACUGCGUUCGCGCUCUCCCCUC
rnacentral:snRNA from 1 species